ensembl:lncRNA LINC02207 long intergenic non-protein coding RNA 2207
GGAGUAAAAUGCCUGAGCUCAAGUGACAACAAGCAACCCCAGACUAGAGACAGGAUCCUUCUCCCCACUUCGAGCAGAUCCCAGCAUGAAUCCUGCAGUAUGGUGAUGGCAAAAGUCAGUGCAGGACCACUGGGACUCCUGGAGCUUCUCACAUCUCUGAGAGCACCAGCAGCAGUCCCCAGAUAGCAGAUGACUGGUAGGAAGAUGAGGCAAGUUUGCGGUCCAUUGUCAUGGAUAGUGGAGACAACACUGGGCCAGAAGUGGUAAGACCUGAAUCCAAGACUCAGCUCUGCCACUUGCUAAAUGGGACUUUGAAUAAACCAUUUCUCUGCACUUAAGUUCCUUACCAACAAAACGAGGGAAGUGGCCUACAUGCCUAGAUAUCAACAUUUCAUGUCACGUAGAGAUCUAGCAUCACAAGAAUCCAAGUCAUCCUCUGUUGCCUUUAAGGUAAGCGCUGUUGAAAAAUAAUCAGCUAUCAGAGUGCUCAAUUCCAGUCUUCAAUUACGUAAAGAAAACCAAUACCGUAUACCUCUUGGCCUGCCCAUUUCAGGACAGGGUGGAGGAGGCAGAAGGAAGUGGGAGUUGCACUGGGGAGGGAGAGAGACUAGCUCUUCCAGCUGCUCUUAUGAUGAGGAAAUAAUUACUUAAUGGCUAGGCAAUUUGUGAAGCAGCUGCUGGUGGUUUGGGGACCCAGCUGUUCCAAAAAAUAAAAAGAAUUGGGUUUUCUCUUUCCAUAUCCUUCCCAUAGUAGACAAAUUAGAUAUGUAGUUUCAAAAUAAAUGAUUAAUUCCUACUGAGAAAUGUUCUUUAGAAUCCCUUGUUGAGUAAGAGUCUAAAGGAUUGGUUAAGUUUCAAUGCUCACAUUUAAAAAUAAAUCUUAAAAGUAUGAGAAUUUGAGAGAAAUCUAAGCUCAUCGGAAAUGUAUACCAAACCCUCUACCUGAUGUUGCUAUAAUUGAUAGUCAUUUUUUUUAAUCCCUGAGGUAAAAUAAAAUCAAACAAUAACAUGCCAGAACAACUGUCUCUUUUUUCUGGCUACGGAGUGUGGAACAAAAGCAGGUUCCAUUCUUUGGUGGCAUUGGCCAGGCAAGCAGGGUGUCUGGACAGCUAGGGAGAAGGUGACAAUGGGAUGGAAAUCAGAUGCUCACUCAGUAAAUAUCUGUGAGCAAGUAAGUGGACUAGGGAUUUUGUGGGUUUUUUAUGUCAUCCUCAGAGGCAUGAGGGAAGAAGGUCUCAGUCUAUCCAUCGUGCAGAUGAAAAAACCAAAGCCCACAUGACUUACUCACCUAAGCUUUCCCAGUGGUGAUGUGUGGAAUCAAGUUGAAAAGGUAGAAAAGAGGUUAAAGGAAACACAUUUGGAGUCUAGCUGUUUGAAUCCUGGAUCUGCCAGUGUCUGAGGUUGGACAAGUGACUUAGCCAUCGAGGCUUCCUUUCCACUCAGCACAGUUGUCCAGCAGACCGUGAGCUCCAAUUCAGUGACAGAGAUGAUUAACUCCGUCUGGCUUGAAACGCUUGCUCAUGUACUACACUUUGCUACGCUGAAAGUAACACAGGUUUGCAGAAAAAAAAUAAUAA